rnacentral:lncRNA from 1 species
GGGGUCUUAGUAUACGGCGCACGCCUAUGAUUCUGACCCGGAUUCUGACCCGAAUUAUGACGAUUUUGAUUUUGAUUUCUAUUGAUCUGAUAUUGUCUCUAUGGAGCAUGUCCCUAAGGAGUUUGUUGUUGUUGUAGAGCUUGGGAAAGCUGCUUAGAUUGCAAUUGAUACUGAAAGGUUAUUGUUGGCACUGAGCAGCGGCUACAUACGGAUAAGGGAAAUAUGGUGAAGGGUCAUAGGAACUUGGUACUGGGGAACACUUGUUGUUGCAUCAUUUUUUUUCUCUUUCCUUCUUUUUUGCAUACCCAAUAUGAGGCUUCCUGGUUGCAGGCUGUUUGUUACUUUUACCACUGGCGAUCUUUUCUGACUUGAGACCAUUUUCUAUCCUCUCUCCAAUAACCACUAUAUCAGCAAAGUUGGAAGACGAGCUACCAACCAUCUUUUAAUAGUACAAACCUUGGAGAGUUCCCAUAAAAAUAUCCACCAACUUAGUAUCAGACAAAGAAGGUUUGACUCUUGAAGCCAUCUCGCACCACCUUUGCGCGUACUCUUUGAACGUCUCAUUAGAUAUCUG